UUCCUCCGACAAUAACGAUUUCAGUAUCAGGAUGACAAGACACGCGAGCAUUAUAAACAGUCUCGUUAGUCGAGUUCGAUUGAGAAGCUGAGAAAAAUUCUUAGGCUCAUACAUGUGAACUCAUUACUUAAUUUUUAAUUUAAGAAAUAAUUGAUCGAAAGAUGUUUAUCUUUUCUCAAGUGGUGUACAGAAAAUUUGAGUACAAGAAUAAUAUGUUAAAUUGAAAAACAAUUGAUUUUUUAUGAAGAUUUAUCUUAGAGAUUUUGUAAUAAAAGGUAGAAACUGGAGAAUGGAUGAUGAAUUUUUGGAUCAUAAAGAUAUCUUAAAAUACAAUAUGUGAAAGAAAAUUUUAACGGGAAGAAAAUAAGUUCAAUUAAUACUCGAUAAUGUACUUGUUAUUGUAUAAAUAAUGUAUGUUUGAUGAAAGAAAUAUAAGAAGA